CUAUACAUGCAAGUCGAGCGAACAGACGAGGAGCUUGCUCCUUUGACGUUAGCGGCGGACGGGUGAGUAACACGUAGGUAACCUACCUAUAAGACUGGGAUAACUUCGGGAAACCGGAGCUAAUACCGGAUAAUAUUUCGAACCGCAUGGUUCGAUAGUGAAAGAUGGCUUUGCUAUCACUUAUAGAUGGACCUGCGCCGUAUUAGCUAGUUGGUAAGGUAACGGCUUACCAAGGCAACGAUACGUAGCCGACCUGAGAGGGUGAUCGGCCACACUGGAACUGAGACACGGUCCAGACUCCUACGGGAGGCAGCAGUAGGGAAUCUUCCGCAAUGGGCGAAAGCCUGACGGAGCAACGCCGCGUGAGUGAUGAAGGUCUUCGGAUCGUAAAACUCUGUUAUUAGGGAAGAACAAACGUGUAAGUAACUGUGCACGUCUUGACGGUACCUAAUCAGAAAGCCACGGCUAACUACGUGCCAGCAGCCGCGGUAAUACGUAGGUGGCAAGCGUUAUCCGGAAUUAUUGGGCGUAAAGCGCGCGUAGGCGGUUUUUUAAGUCUGAUGUGAAAGCCCACGGCUCAACCGUGGAGGGUCAUUGGAAACUGGAAAACUUGAGUGCAGAAGAGGAAAGUGGAAUUCCAUGUGUAGCGGUGAAAUGCGCAGAGAUAUGGAGGAACACCAGUGGCGAAGGCGACUUUCUGGUCUGUAACUGACGCUGAUGUGCGAAAGCGUGGGGAUCAACAGGAU
rnacentral:rRNA from 1 species